UAAUAAAUAAGUGUUCAGAGCCUGACCAU
rnacentral:piRNA from 1 species